rnacentral:rRNA from 1 species
GACGAACCGUGCGAACGUUAUUCGGAAUCACUGGGCUUAAAGCGCGUGUAGGCGGGCCGCCGCGUCGGCUGCUGAAAUCCCCCGGCUCAACCGGGGAACGGGCACCGAUACGGGCGGCCUCGAGGGGGGUAGGGGGGCCUGGAACUUCCGGUGGAGCGGUGAAAUGCGUAGAGAUCGGAAAGAACACCAACGGCGAAAGCACUCUGCUGGGCCGACACUGACACUGAGAGACGAAAGCUAGGGGAGCGAAUGGG